ACCGUGAGGGAAAGGUGAAAAGCACCCCGGAAGGGGAGUGAAAUAGAACCUGAAACCGUGUGCUUACAAGUAGUCAGAGCCCGUUAAUGGGUGAUGGCGUGCCUUUUGUAGAAUGAACCGGCGAGUUACGAUUUGAUGCAAGGUUAAGCAGUAAAUGUGGAGCCGUAGCGAAAGCGAGUCUGAAUAGGGCGUUUAGUAUUUGGUCGUAGACCCGAAACCAGGUGAUCUACCCUUGGUCAGGUUGAAGUUCAGGUAACACUGAAUGGAGGACCGAACCGACUUACGUUGAAAAGUGAGCGGAUGAACUGAGGGUAGCGGAGAAAUUCCAAUCGAACCUGGAGAUAGCUGGUUCUCUCCGAAAUAGCUUUAGGGCUAGCCUCAAGUGAUGAUUAUUGGAGGUAGAGCACUGUUUGGACGAGGGGCCCCUCUCGGGUUACCGAAUUCAGACAAACUCCGAAUGCCAAUUAAUUUAACUUGGGAGUCAGAACAUGGGUGAUAAGGUCCGUGUUCGAAAGGGAAACAGCCCAGACCACCAGCUAAGGUCCCAAAAUAUAUGUUAAGUGGAAAAGGAUGUGGCGUUGCCCAGACAACUAGGAUGUUGGCUUAGAAGCAGCCAUCAUUUAAAGAGUGCGUAAUAGCUCACUAGUCGAGUGACACUGCGCCGAAAAUGUACCGGGGCUAAACAUAUUACCGAAGCUGUGGAUUGUCCUUUGGACAAUGGUAGGAGAGCGUUCUAAGGGCGUUGAAGCAUGAUCGUAAGGACAUGUGGAGCGCUUAGAAGUGAGAAUGCCGGUGUGAGUAGCGAAAGACGGGUGAGAAUCCCGUCCACCGAUUGACUAAGGUUUCCAGAGGAAGGCUCGUCCGCUCUGGGUUAGUCGGGUCCUAAGCUGAGGCCGACAGGCGUAGGCGAUGGAUAACAGGUUGAUAUUCCUGUACCACCUAUAAUCGUUUUAAUCGAUGGGGGGACGCAGUAGGAUAGGCGAAGCGUGCGAUUGGAUUGCACGUCUAAGCAGUAAGGCUGAGUAUUAGGCAAAUCCGGUACUCGUUAAGGCUGAGCUGUGAUGGGGAGAAGACAUUGUGUCUUCGAGUCGUUGAUUUCACACUGCCGAGAAAAGCCUCUAGAUAGAAAAUAGGUGCCCGUACCGCAAACCGACACAGGUAGUCAAGAUGAGAAUUCUAAGGUGAGCGAGCGAACUCUCGUUAAGGAACUCGGCAAAAUGACCCCGUAACUUCGGGAGAAGGGGUGCUCUUUAGGGUUAACGCCCAGAAGAGCCGCAGUGAAUAGGCCCAAGCGACUGUUUAUCAAAAACACAGGUCUCUGCUAAACCGUAAGGUGAUGUAUAGGGGCUGACGCCUGCCCGGUGCUGGAAGGUUAAGAGGAGUGGUUAGCUUCUGCGAAGCUACGAAUCGAAGCCCCAGUAAACGGCGGCCGUAACUAUAACGGUCCUAAGGUAGCGAAAUUCCUUGUCGGGUAAGUUCCGACCCGCACGAAAGGCGUAACGAUUUGGGCACUGUCUCAACGAGAGACUCGGUGAAAUCAUAGUACCUGUGAAGAUGCAGGUUACCCGCGACAGGACGGAAAGACCCCGUGGAGCUUUACUGUAGCCUGAUAUUGAAAUUCGGCACAGCUUGUACAGGAUAGGUAGGAGCCUUUGAAACGUGAGCGCUAGCUUACGUGGAGGCGCUGGUGGGAUACUACCCUAGCUGUGUUGGCUUUCUAACCCGCACCACUUAUCGUGGUGGGAGACAGUGUCAGGCGGGCAGUUUGACUGGGGCGGUCGCCUCCUAAAAGGUAACGGAGGCGCUCAAAGGUUCCCUCAGAAUGGUUGGAAAUCAUUCAUAGAGUGUAAAGGCAUAAGGGAGCUUGACUGCGAGACCUACAAGUCGAGCAGGGUCGAAAGACGGACUUAGUGAUCCGGUGGUUCCGCAUGGAAGGGCCAUCGCUCAACGGAUAAAAGCUACCCCGGGGAUAACAGGCUUAUCUCCCCCAAGAGUUCACAUCGACGGGGAGGUUUGGCACCUCGAUGUCGGCUCAUCGCAUCCUGGGGCUGUAGUCGGUCCCAAGGGUUGGGCUGUUCGCCCAUUAAAGCGGUACGCGAGCUGGGUUCAGAACGUCGUGAGACAGUUCGGUCCCUAUCCGUCGUGGGCGUAGGAAAUUUGAGAGGAGCUGUCCUUAGUACGAGAGGACCGGGAUGGACAUACCUCUGGUGUACCAGUUGUCGUGCCAACGGCAUAGCUGGGUAGCUAUGUGUGGACGGGAUAAGUGCUGAAAGCAUCUAAGCAUGAAGCCCCCCUCAAGAUGAGAUUUCCCAACUUCGGUUAU
rnacentral:rRNA from 1 species